rnacentral:rRNA from 1 species
UUGGCGGACGGGUGAGAAAUGUCUGGGAAACUGCCUGAUGGAGGGGGAUAACUACUGGAAACGGUAGCUAAUACCGCAUAACGUCGCAAGACCAAAGAGGGGGACCUUCGGGCCUCUUGCCAUCGGAUGUGCCCAGAUGGGAUUAGCUAGUAGGUGGGGUAACGGCUCACCUAGGCGACGACCCCUAGCUGGUCUGAGAGGAUGACCAGCCACACCGGAACUGAGACACGGUCCAGACUCCUACGGGAGGCAGCAGUGGGGAAUAUUGCGCAAUGGGCGCAAGCCUGAUGCAGCCAUGCCGCGUGUAUGAAGAAGGCCUUCGGGUUGUAAAGUACUUUCAGCGGGGAGGAAGGGAGUAAAGUUAAUACCUUUGCUCAUUGACGUUACCCGCAGAAGAAGCACCGGCUAACUCCGUGCCAGCAGCCGCGGUAAU